rnacentral:rRNA from 1 species
UCCCUAGACGUUCUGGGCUGCACGCGCGCUACAAUAAUACGCACAGCGAGUAUCACCGAGCUCGAAAGGGCAAGGUAAACAAUAGAAAAGGUACUGUAAUGGUUAUAGAUCCUUGUAAUUAUUGAUCUUCAACGAGGAAUUCCUAGUAAGUAUGUGUCAUCAUCACGCACUGAUUACGUCCCUGCCCUUUGUACACACCGCCCGUCGCUCCUACCGAUUGGGUGAGCCGAUGAAACUCUCGGAUGUAGGCUAUUCAUAGCCCGCAGAAGAGAUUUGAAUCGUAGCGCUUAGAGGAAGGAGAAGUCGUAACA